rnacentral:tRNA from 1 species
GCGCCAGGGUGAAAGCAUUGCUGCCUGGAAAGCAGAAAGUGCGGGUUCAAGUCCCGCAUGGCGUA